GCUGCAUAUCCAGCUGUCUCAUCAAAUACUUUAGGAUUAACAGCAACAAACUUAUUUACAGAUGUUAUGGAUGAGCUGGAGAAACAGUAUCUUGAUGACAAGUCACAAAUUAAAGAUGCAGUUAGGAUGGCCGAGAUUGGAUUGACAUCAGCCUAGACACUUGAUGAUAUUAAGGUUGCAAUCGCUAAGUAUAUUAGCACUCCACCAAUGUCAG